GCAGAACUUCCAUGAUCUAUGAUAAGUUAAACAAACAAAAAAAGUUCAGUGAAGUUUUGAACACAAAAUCCUGAAGACAAGAGGUUUCAAAUGUUGUAGUGAGUUGUGAAGGAUAAGUUAGAAGGAAAUGCCUACCUAGCCACACUGGAAAGGAAGUUUGGUUUCCAAAUCAUCUCAAUCCAUCGGCUCAAGCAGAUGAGGAAGCUGAGACCUGGGUCACAUGCCUGAAGGCUUUCUGAAUCUAAGUGGACCCCAUUUCAGCUCAACUUAAGGACCUCAAUCCUCUGCUGCUUACAAUUGUCCCUUUGCUCCUUGCCGUGCUCUCCUGUUGUUGAUAUUUUCAUUUCAGCCAUUCAAAUUGAAUAUUUAGAAGAAGGAGCACAAGAAAGAGGACACCCUUAACAGAAAAGUUAUUCAUUUCCAAUUUAAGACUCAUCAAGGGAUAAAAUCUGAAAACUUAUAAAGGAUACUUAUUACAGAAAAAAUUUAAGGGGAAACUGGUGCUGUGGAGAGACCCAUGUGGAAAGGAACUGAGGACUCCCGGCAAAAGUCACCAAGGACCGAGGUUGCUGACAGCUGCAUGUGAACUCGGAAGCAGAUCAAUCCUUGCCCAAGCCCACACUUUGUCUACAGCCUUGGUGAGAGACCCUGAGCCAGGGAUGCACAUCCAAGCUGCACCCAAACUCUUGACCCACAGAAACUGUGAGAUGAUGAAUGUGUUUAAGCCCCCAUAUUGUGGAGUCAUUUAUUACACAGCAAUAGAUGGCUAAGAUGAGCACUAUUUUUAUCCCCUUGUGAGUUCAUGGCUUGGUCUCCCUACCUCCCACUGACUAAAUGUGGCUAAAGCAAAAUCCAAUAACCAGCUGUCUCUGAACAAUAUUAACUGAAUGCCUACUGUUUACUAGCAUGACAGGAAUUCAAAAGAGUUUAUGAGGGAAAUGGCCACAGUGAGGCAGAGGAUUUACAUGCUGGGAAGGCUUCAUCCUGGCAAAUUACCCAGGGCAGACCUUCCCUCCUUCACUGUCUAAAAUAUCCAACUCUUAUAGUUUCAAAUCCCCAUCUCUUAUUGUCUGUCUUAUAGAAACCACCCU
rnacentral:lncRNA from 1 species